ACCAACAAACAUUUUCUGCUAUUCUUCUUCACCGUGUCACCUCCUCCAUGAGAGUCAACCAUGAGCUUUUGAUGUGUCUUCACCAUUUUUCAUUCAACUCCUUAAUUCAUCAAACCUACUUACCUAAAACUAGACUAGCUAAUCCUAAUCACCAAUGUAUUAACUCAAAUCUCCUACACUUGUCUCUGCAAACAAGCUGACUUGUACCCUCAAUGGAGCACCCAAGCUUCUAUAAAUAGCUGUUAAUUCAUCCCCAAAUGCAAUACAAAUCAGAUUACCUUCAAUUCACAAUUAAAAAUCAUAAGUUCUUAAUUUUUCUGUUCAAACAACUGAGACCACCGCCGGAAACCACCGCGAGCAACCAUCACCAAAGUUGCCGCCGGCGACCUGCCACCACCCACCUUCGCCUAGUAAUCCGGCCAACUCUUGUGUGUGGGUCCCGACCAGAAGCCGUACACCCCGCUAGCGGUCGAUUUCUUUUUCUCUCUUCUCUGUUCUUCGGCUUCGGCUUUGCCAACAAUCUCGACCCUCGGAGCUCAAGAAGGACGAUAAUCAAGACUAGAGGAAAAGCCUAAGUCAAUCACGAAUUUGAGGUGCCGACCGGGACGGUGGAUGCGAUUAGUGGCAAGGAUUUCGUCUUAUUAGGGCUCACCUAGUUUAAGCUUAAUUUGUACUAAGUUCAAGUAAGAAUAUUCUAUUAAGUUAUGUAAGUCACUUUUGAAUAUUAAUAUAGAACAUAGUUAUAUUAGUUGUAUAAAAGUAUUAUGAGGAUAAUAGCCUUGUAAUUCCCAAGAGGGAGUUACGGCGGUAAUGCCUCGACCGAAUUAGGGCAACUCCGCUGCUUAAUUACUUGAGUUAGAGGUCGGGGCGUUACAGUGUACCUGACCAGUUCCGAGCAUAGAAGUUUAACAUAAUCUGAA